rnacentral:rRNA from 1 species
AAUGACGGUACCUAACGAAUAAGCAUCGGCUAACUCCGUGCCAGCAGCCGCGGUAAGACGGAGGAUGCAAGCGUUAUCCGGAAUUAUUGGGCGUAAAGCGUACGUAGGCUGUUUCAUAAGUCUGUUGUCAAAGCCCGAGGCUUAACCUUGGAAAGGCAAUGGAAACUGUGAGGCUAGAGAGAGAUAGGGGCAGGAGGAAUUCCAGGUGUAGCGGUGAAAUGCGUAGAUAUCUGGAAGAACACCAGUGGCGAAAGCGUCCUGCUGGAUCUCAACUGACGCUGAAGUACGAAAGCUAGGGGAGCGAAUGGGAUUAGAUACC